rnacentral:lncRNA from 1 species
UCAAUAGUGAAAACUAACUGUUUAACUGUGCAUGCGAGGAUUGAGAACAAAUCCUGAUUAGGAGUUACAGCCUGGAGAAUGAGAAAGCGCAGGAGUCAAGUGUUGAAAAUUUUUACUCAUUCUCUUAACUGCCAAACAAAUAGAAACACUGCGUGUAGUGAUUAAAACCAAGUAUCUGAUUCAUCUCUAGGUGGUCAGUAGCACUAUUAAGCCCAUCAUGGGGAAUUGCCAAGACGAUGCUGAGCAGACUGUUUUGGUCACCAUCUUUUGGUUCUCUGUAGGACUGUUGUGUAUUUAUGAAAGAGAAGUGUUCCCUGCAAAUAACAGCACCUACAGCAAGGGUGUUCUGUUAACUACUUCCACAGCCACUUAGCCUCAUUUGUUGGCUGGCAAAAAAAGCGCAUUCUCUGACUUGUGUAGAGAAACUGAGGUUAAAUAUUAAUAAGACAUCAAGUUUGAGCCCAGAGAGUUUGUAAAACAUACAGAAAAUGCUUUUGGGAGAGCUCAGAAGAUUUCAUAAUGUGAGUUGAAGGGGUGAGAGAGAAAAAAAUAGAUACGUGGCUUCCCUUCUCCAGGUACAAAGACAUACUUCAUAAAUGUGCUCCCUGUUUGUUGAGGUAGGUGCAUAUCCCAAUGGCACUGGAGUAUUUUGUUAGGUGGCAUUAAGAGCUAUGCACAUCUAAAAUGUUCUUGUAGAUGCACUGAAUGAAAAGAAGGAGAAAUAAAUAGCUUCUCAACAGAGAGCUGCCUGAGUCCUCAUCACUUAAGCAUAGUAAUUAACUUCUUAUAUUAACUAAGGGAUGGAUUUCCUUUACUUCCUGAGGAGGAAAAAACCACCUGUCAUGGCUAAUCUUCACACUACACAAGGGCAAAAAAAGAAUAGUUCCAUUAGAAUCAGUAGUCAAAAAGAUAUUUUAGUAAAAUAAAUCUGAGAACAUCCACACUGCCUACUGUAUUAUAGCAUGCCAGGGGUUCUGGCGAUAAGAAUCUUCAUCUCUUGGGAAGGAAACAAUUAUGUGCAUUUAUAAAUAGUCAUAUUUCUUGCAAUUUAGGAGACAAUAAACACAUUGAAGGCUGUGACUUAAAGUAAGCAUCGGUGGUGUGUAGUGAGAGAGUCAUCGGUUGAGGACUUCAAAGAGAUUGUGGAUGCCCAGUUCAGUCCGAACUAUCUGGCUUCUUGUGGGUUCAGCUUUUGGGAAUUAGAAACCAGAGGGGCUUGCUUGAAACGCCUGAUCUAUGUUUUCAUCUAUCUAUCUUUCUUUACUGUCAUGUCACGAAGAAACUGAAACAGAGAAGUAGCAAUAAUUCUCUAAUACCCCACGUCCCGGUGCUGAACAGUGCAUGGUGUGUCACACACCCACCUGACCCAAACCAGUGAUUCCUUUCUUGUCAUUCAAAGCAAAAUGAACCUAUGGACGUAGGGAAAAGGGAGACGCUUUUUAGUUGUAAAUGGGUGCUACUUCCAGUGGAUAGAAAUCAUGUGUAAUGUCUUGUUACAACAUUUUAGCAGCAGAUUCUGUGCUGCGAAAGAACAGGGAGGUAGCAUGAAAGCCUGCAGUGGUCAGAGGACUUUUCGUAGCGAAUUUAUCAUCGCAUUUCUUGUAGCACAUUUUCAAGCAUGAAACUGGUCUGUGAAUCUGUGCUGAAUAGUAAAUAACAAGGAUCUGGAGAACUCAGUGGAAAAGCAGUAAUAAAGAUGAAUGAUAAUGCACCAAAACCAUAAGUAUGAUACCAGAACUCGCAAAAAACAUAAAUGCAUCAAGUCAGGCUGAUGAGAGAGAAACUUUCAAGGAUCUCUUCUAUUUCAACGGGUUUUUGGGAAAACCGUGCUUGCCAGACUGCAGGGACUAAGGUUCAAAGUUCUUACAGGAGUGCAGCAUCUGUAAUGCUUCUGCUAUUUUUGCAUAGAGUUCUGUGCAAAACUAAUUGGGCCAUCCAAUAUAGAAAUGCUUAUUCUGGAAAGAACUCAAGGGAGUAUGCAAAAUGUAGGUUUCUUGGGGGGAAGAAAAUAAAGGUGUUCUCUUCUUUGACUUAGGAUAGCAAUUAAAUUCGCAGCAAACAUGAAAACAUCUGCCAUGCAUCUGAGGCAAAGAUGGGGUCUGUAGUGCUUGUCAGAAUUUCAUUCUUUACACGCUGGGGCUUUUAUUAAGUUUUAUUUCUUUUUUUCCCCUUGGCUGGCUGAAGUGAUACACAUGUCUUCCUGUAAAUACAGUCCUCAUGCAGUGAUGGACUCUGGAGAUACGCUGAAAAACCAAGGACCAUAGGAUCAUAUCUAGGCCAAAACUAUUCUUACUAUUGGAAACAUCUUUUGUUUUGAUGUGCUUUAGUUCUUGAACCCUAUAAAGCAUGUGGUGGUUUCUCUCUUCACCAGGAAGUGUAAUAGCAGAACUCUGUUUAGAAAUUCCAAGAGACGCAAUAAAACUUAUUUUGUACUGCUGCCAAAGUACUGGCUGAGUAUUUGGUACAUGUUGCCGCUGUGAAUGAAGGCAAGCUGCUCUCUUCAAGGAGCUUAUAGUGUCGUUGGUCAAAGAUGUGUUAUCAGAGAGGAUAAGGUCAGUCAGCAGAGUGUGUUUUUCUCUUUGUCCUUCACUCUUGAUGUCAUGAGGUUGCUUUUUGCUUGUUUGGUUAUAUUCUCUUUUAAAUGGCUUACCAGAAUUUAGCAAAGGAACUAAACAGGGAAGAGCUUCCUGUUACAGGUUUGGGUGUAAUAGAAAGUGGCUGCAGCAUUGAUUCUCAAUUGCUGCAUUUUAGUGCCUCAGACAUGUAGGUCUAUGGAAUAACUUCAUGGUUCAGGCACAGAGCUAAAUAUCUAAACUUGUUUUGUCUUUGGACAUGGUUAUUAUUUUAAGACAAGGCAAAUCAAACUGGUCUGGCUUUUGUGCAAGCCUGAAAGGUGUCUGCGUGCAAGGUACGAAUGUGCCUUGUUAGGCUAAAAUCUUCCUUAUUUUGGUGGCAGGAGUCUCUCAGCUCAAAAAUCUAAUAAAUUCAGCACUGACCUACUAUGAAAGUGUGUGAUUUAAAAAAUCUCCCUUUACAAUUAUUGGAACUAUUUGUAGACAAAUAUAUAAGGAAUGUAUCCAAAACUAGUUCUUAAUGCUCAGAACGUAAUCAGAAUGUAUUUUAGUGAUGUGAGCAUCUUUAUUAUUAUCCCGUUUGUAAACAUAAGUUCUAAUAAAAUUAACUGUUCAAAACAAAA